CGGAUUGAAGGCUGAAAUUCGCCUUCAUGAAGCCGGAAUUGCUAGUAAUGGCAGGUCAGCAUACUGCCGUGAAUACGUUCCCGGGCCUUGUACACACCGCCCGUCACACCAUGAGAGUUGGGAAUACCCGAAGCCUGUGAGCUAACUGUAAAGAGGCAGCAGUCGAAGGUAGAAUCAAUGAUUGGGGUGAAGUCGUAACAAGGUAGC
rnacentral:rRNA from 1 species